UACGUAGGGGGGCGAGCGUUGUCCGGAUUUAUUGGGCGUAAAGAGCUCGUAGGCGGCUUGGCAAGUCGGGUGUGAAACCUCCAGGCUCAACCUGGAGACGCCACUCGAUACUGCUAUGGCUAGAGUCCGGUAGGGGACCACGGAAUUCCUGGUGUAGCGGUGAAAUGCGCAGAUAUCAGGAGGAACACCGGUGGCGAAGGCGGGGUCUCUGGGCCGUAACUGACGCUGAGGAGCGAAAGCAUGGGGAGCGAACAGG
rnacentral:rRNA from 1 species